rnacentral:rRNA from 1 species
AUGCAGGUGAAGCAGAAGGUCUACGAGCUCUACAAGGGGACGGUGGAGCGGGUCACGGGCCCGCGCACCGUCUCGGCGUUCCUCGAGAAGGGCGUCCUCUCCGUCCCCGAGUUCAUCCUCGCCGGCGACAACCUCGUGUCCAAGUGCCCCACCUGGUCCUGGGAGGCGGGCGAUCCGAGCAAGAGGAAGCCGUACCUCCCCUCCGAUAAGCAGUUCCUCGUCACCAGGAACGUGCCCUGCCUAAGACGAGCUGUGGCGGUCGAGGAAGAGUAUGAUGCAGCGGGAGCUGAGGUUGUUCUCGAUGAUGAUGAGGAUGGCGAAGGCUGGCUCGCAACACAUGGGCUGCAAGCAUCAGAGUCAAAAGAGGAGGAGGACAUACCAUCUAUGGAUACAUUGGACAUAGGGAAAGUCGAAGAGAUCAAAUCUAUUCCCUCGUACUUUGGUGCUGGUGAAAAGCCAGAUGACGAGGAGGAUAUACCUGAUAUGGACACCUAUGAAGACACAGGAGAUCAUUCCACAGCUACCCCUCAGCCUUCAUAUUUUGUCGCGGAACAGCCGGAUGAUGACAACAUUCUUCUGACCAGAACAUAUGAUGUCAGCAUCACAUAUGACAAGUACUACCAAACUCCACGUGUCUGGCUUACUGGCUAUGAUGAGGCAAGAAUGCCAUUAAAGCCUGAACUUGUGUUUCAAGAUAUCAGUCAAGACCAUGCACACAAAACGGUGACUAUCGAAGACCACCCUCACCUGUUAGUGGGACAGCACGCUUCAGUGCAUCCUUGCAAGCACGCUGCUGUGAUGAAAAAGAUCAUUGAUGUUAUAGUGUCUCAAGGAGGUGCACCAGAAGUUGACAAGUACCUUUUCAUAUUUCUCAAAUUCAUGGCUUCUGUCAUACCCACCAUUGAGUAUGAUUACACUAUGGACUUCGAUCUGGGCAGUACAAGCACAUAA